rnacentral:sRNA from 1 species
CAGAUCGGCUCCGUGCAGUUGCCAGACCCCCGACCCGGCAACCGCACGGAGCCUUCUC